UUUUAGCAAGAGUUGUUUUCCC
rnacentral:miRNA from 1 species